CCGUAUCUAGAACUCACAGGUUCUACUCGUGUUGUUCUUGUUGAUUUCGAUCCAGGAGCUUUGAGGUUGUCCUAAGUUAAGGGUGCAAGUGAAUCUGCUGAUAAAGACCUUAGUUUUCUAGUCCUUCCGUUGAACGAACAUUGUAAAUAUGAUAGGUAUUAUACUAGUAAACGUAGCACACUGGAGUUAACACUCCGCUGUAUCGGCAAAUCUGUGGAAGCGGCAAUCAGUAUACGACUCGUUGAUGGUUCAUCAUGGCCACGCGGUUGGCAAGGCGUAUUUACAGCCACUAUUGCCAGCAUUAAUGAUGCUGAAGUUACCUUGCUUUCUUUUGAAGAUGAUAAAUUGCCAGUUAUUGCGGACGAUGGCACCAUCAAGCUUACACGGCGUGUUGUCUUCGUUGAACACAAGCAUGGAGAGCUGAAACUUUCUGUUACUGCACGGUGUGCAAAUGAUGAGCACGAUGCUAUGACAGAUGACAUAGUUUUCAUACCCAGGAACACAGGUAGAAGUUGUGGUCUGCUUAACGUCGGCAUGUGUAAGACCCAAAUCACGGUGGCCUGGUCACUUUUCGACUUGUAA
rnacentral:rRNA from 1 species